rnacentral:lncRNA from 1 species
AUGGAGGCGUCAGCUGCUGAGAAGAAAACUCACAAAGGGAAAGAAGAUUUGCAACAAUAUCAUCAGAAACCUGCAAACUGCAAGAAAUUGCUUAGCAAUUGCUGCUUGAUAAAGCGAAUUUUUGCCUGGAAAAGUUUGAGCUCCAAAGGUUCUGAGCUCAACUCUGAAAAAAGUUCAGAAGAUUCUUCCUUUGGCAUCCUAAAGCCCUUUGAUGCAUUUUCCCUCUGAGCUUUGAAAUGCCAGCUCUUUUAUGUACCUAUCAUGUGUUUUAUUAUUCUAAUUAUUAUUAAUAAUAUUGUUUAGUUUAUUAAGAGGCUCAGAAUAAAUUGUCAUUAACUUUCUCUUUUUGCUUUUGU